rnacentral:rRNA from 1 species
UAUCUCUGUAGAGUCUGCAUAUCAAUAAGCGGAGGAAAAGAAACUAACAAGGAUUCCCUUAGUAACGGCGAGUGAAGCGGGAAGAGCUCAAAUUUGAAAUCUUCAAGGUUCUACCUUGACGAAUUGUAGUUUAAAGAAGUGUUUUCUGUUAGAUGAGUAGCAAAAGUUCCUUGGAAUGGGACAUCAUAGAGGGUGAGAAUCCCGUAUUUGGUUAUUCAUUCUAGCUUUGUGAUACACUUUCAAAGAGUCGGAUUGUUUGGGAAUGCAGUCCAAAUGGGUGGUAAAUUUCAUCUAAAGCUAAAUAUUGGCGAGAGACCGAUAGCGAACAAGUACCGUGAGGGAAAGAUGAAAAGAACUUUGAAAAGAGAGUUAAACAGUACGUGAAAUUGUCAAAAGGGAAGCGUUUGACACCAGUGUUGUUUUUCCGAAAAUCAAUUACGAAUGGCUUGAUUUUGUGUUGUAUUGACCUUAUCAGCUUUCUUCACUUUUUUCGAGUCUUUCUUAAUGCACUUUUUGGUUAACAAGUCAACAUCAAUUUCUUUUGUUGUAAAAGAGUAUUCGGAAGGUGGCUUUCUUUUCGGAGAAAGUGUUUAUAGCCCUAUACUUCUACAAUCGGAGAGAUUGAGGUCUGCAGCGUAGAUCCUUCGGGGUUAGAUACACUUGUGCUAAGUUGUAGCUUUUCAUAGACAACUUGUUGACUAUGUUUAGUCAUGCGGCUUACUCGCUUGUGCUAUUUUACCUACGCUUAGGAUGUUGACUGAUAUGUAGUCGUA